rnacentral:rRNA from 1 species
CACGUAGGCGGCGAUUUAAGUCAGAGGUGAAAGCCCGGGGCUCAACCCUGGAACUGCCUUUGAUACUGGGUAUCUUGAGUAUGGAAGAGGUAAGUGGAAUUCCGAGUGUAGAGGUGAAAUUCGUAGAUAUUCGGAGGAACACCAGUGGCGAAGGCGGCUUACUGGUCCAUUACUGACGCUGAGGUGCGAAAGCGUGGGGGAGCAAACA